GGCAGACAAAACAGCAUCAACAUACUGAAGAAGGCACUCCCAAAGACGUCACCAAUCGUUGCAGGGGAGUUGGACCAGAUGACCUCUAAUGGUCCCUUCCAACUCAAACAAUGCUAUGAUCUAUGGUUCAAUGAAAGGACCCCGAGCUGGCCCAAAGCCACCAACCAGCAAGGAGUUUAGCCAGUAGAGGUCCUUGAGCCACAACCAUCGAGCUUCCCCUCGUGAAGCCGGGGCUUCAGCCCUGCGGAGCAGUGGGAAAUGGAACAUCGGGAGCCUCAGUCACAACAACUGCGAGUCCGAUACACGGAAAACACUUGGAAAAUAUCGACGGGAUGCCAAGUAGCUGUCUUUCCCUGCUUUGUUUGCAAGCCACCCAGGGCUAGAAGCACAUUUACAAGCGCUCAGGACCCUGGAGAAGAAGAGCAAACCGAGUAUGAAAAGAAAGAAACCCGACCCGCUGCUGAGGAAGAUGUGGGAAGGAUGAAUCGGAUGUGUCUGACACCGCAGAAUGGGGGGAGCUCUAGCAAAUACUUUUGCCAGCAGUUUACUCUCAUAGAAAUGUGUGUGUUGGCCAACAGCAAGUGAUGAGUGAAGUGUGGCUGUGCCUGAUGGAUCCGUGCUGCUGUGCAAGCCAGGCGUCAGUCCCAGCUCCAUGCUGUGAGCUUGCAGCUGGGGGAGUACACAGCUACCAGCUCCUGCUCCACACACAUGCCCUGCUUUGAGGAAUGCAGUUGGGAUGUUGGGAUGCUGGGAUGUUAGGAUUCUGGGAUGUUGGGACACUGAGAUGUUGGGAUGCUGAGAUAUUGGGGUGCUGGGAUCUUGGGAUGCUGGGAAAUUGGGAUGCUGGUGUGUUGGAAUGCUAGGAUGUUGGGUUGCUGGGAUGCUGGGAUGCUGGGAUGUUGGGAUAUUGGGAUGCUGAGAAAUUGGGAUGCUGGUGUGUUGGAAUGCUAGGAUGUUGGAAUGAUAGGAUGCUGGGAUGUUGGGAUGUUGGAAUGCUAGGAUGCUGGGAUACUGGAAUGCUGGGAUAUUGGGAUGCUGGGUUGUUGGGAUGCUGGGAAAUUGGGAUGCUGGUGUGGUGGAUUGCUAGAGUGUAGGGAAACUGGGAUGUUGGUGUGGUGGAUUGCUAGAGUGUAGGGAUAUUGGGAUGCUAGUGUGUUGGGAUUCUGGGAUGUUGGGAUGCUGGGUUGUUGGGAUGCUGGAAUAUUGGAAUGCUGGUGUGUUGGGUAUUGGAAUGCUGAGAUGUUGGGAUGUCAAGAUGCUGGGAUGUUGAGAUGUUGGAAUGGUGGAUGUUGGGAUGCUGGGAUAUUGGAAUGCUGGGGUGUUGGUAUGAUGAGAAAUUGGGAUGUUGGGAUGUCAAGAUGUUGGGAUGCUAGUAUGUUGGGAUGUCGGGAUGCUGGUCUGCUGGGUAAUUGGGAUGUUGGGAUGUCAAGAUGUUGGGAUGCUGACAUGUUGGAAUUCUGGGGUGCUGGGAUGCUGGAAUGAUGAGAUGUUGCAGUGCUGGGAUAUUAGAAUGCUGAGAUUUUGGAAUGAUGAGGGGUUGCUGUCACACCCUGUUCCCUGGUUUAUUUUGCCCAGCAAGAAGA
ensembl:lncRNA